CGAUUACUAGCGAUUCCGGCUUCAUGUAGUCGAGUUGCAGACUACAAUCCGAACUGAGACCGGCUUUGAGGAUUGGCUCCACCUCGCGGUAUCGCAACCCACUGUACCGGCCAUUGUAGCACGUGUGUAGCCCUGGACAUAAGGACCAUGAGGACUUGACGUCAUCCCCACCUUCCUCCGCCUCAUCGGCGGCAGUCCCCCUAGAGUGCCCACCCGAAGUGCUGGCAACUAAGGGCAAGGGUUGCGCUCGUUGCGGGACUUAACCCAACAUCUCACGACACGAGCUGACGACAGCCAUGCAGCACCUGUGCAUCGACCCCGAAGGGAAAGUGUGUUUCCACACCCGUCCGAUGCAUGUCAAGCCCAGGUAAGGUUCUUCGCGUUGCAUCGAAUUAAACCACAUGCUCCACCGCUUGUGCGGGCCCCCGUCAAUUCCUUUGAGUUUCAACCUUGCGGUCGUACUCCCCAGGCGGGGCACUUAAUGCGUUAGCUGCGGCACGGAAGGGGUCGAUGCCUCCCACACCUAGUGCCCACCG
rnacentral:rRNA from 1 species